GCACUACUGAUGAGUCUUAAACAGGACGAAACAGCUGUCCAGUGC
rnacentral:hammerhead_ribozyme from 1 species